GACGAACGCUGGCGGCGUGCUUAACACAUGCAAGUCGAACGGAAGGGCCCUGCGUUUGUGGGGUUCUCGAUUGGCGAACGGGUGAGUAACACAUGAGUAACCUGCCCUUGACUGUGUGGUAAAUUCACGAAACAGGGGCGAUUACCGCGGAGGAUCUCCUGCUGCGUGUGGGUGAUUGGAAAGUUUCGGCGGUUGGGGAUGUACUCGCUGCUUAUCAGCUUGUUUGUGGGGUAGUGGCUUACCAAGCCUAUGACGGAUAGCCUGCCUGAGAGGGUUACCGGCCACAUUGGGCCUGCGAUACGGCCCAGACGCCUACGGGAGGCAGCAGUCGGGAAUCUUGCACAAUGGGCGGACGUGUGAUGCAGCAACGCCGCGUGCGUGAUACCGGCUUUCUGGUUGUAAACAGAUUUCGCAUGUACUGAAGAGUGCGUGACGGUACUGAGUCAAGAAGCCCCGGCUAACUACGUG
rnacentral:rRNA from 1 species